UUGGCUGGGACGACACAUCUGUUAAAAGCUAACGCAAUUAUCCUAAGAUGAGCUCAAUGAGAACAGAAAUCUCUUGUGGAACAAAAUGGUAAAAGGUCAUUUGAUUCUGAUUUUCAGUACGAGUACGAACUCUGAAAGUGUAAGUUCAAAAAAUGCAUCCAUUCACCAAUCAUAGAUCUCAUAAGAUCAAACUUCAUUGAAUG
rnacentral:ncRNA from 1 species